GGCAAUUGGGGUUGUUCUUUACUCCUUAAUGCAGCUUAAAUGCAUAGGGUGUUCAUGAAUUGCAAAUGAGUGUGGGGAUCUUGAACUGCAUAUUUGAGUUGUUGAGUUCUUUGUAAUGUUACCAAGUUGUGAACUUUUCCUUUUAAAGGCACAAGUUUGAGCUGAGUGGUGAGGUUUUUGAGUAAAAGAAGCUAUAAAUCUUUUAGGAACUUGAAUAUGAUCGUUGGAGGUAAUGCCGAGGAUAAAAGGGAGAAAGAGAGCACUGUUGAUAAUACUAGGGAAGAAAGAAUUGGUACAGACGAUUUUGGGCGAGCAGUAUCGAGGACUGCGGUGGCACAGAUAUGUGAAAGUAUUGGGUUUGAGAUCUUCAAUGAAUCUGCUCUUGAAUCGCUUGCAGACAUUGCAAUUAAGUAUAUACUUGACCUAGGGAAGACUGCUAAUAGUAAAGCUAAUAUAGCUGGAAGAACACAGUGCAAUGUGUUUG
rnacentral:misc_RNA from 1 species